CGUUCUUCCGCCUAUCCUUGAGACCUAUUAUCAACAAUGUCAGGUGACUGACCUUAGGGGUUGGCUAUUAUAGAACAUCCGGAACCAACCACUUCCUUUUGCCUUUCUCACCUCAUCUGAGGCCAAAGCGGUAGAGCUCAUCUCAGCUUAAUUACGGGAGACAGUGUAGUUCCAAUUCGUCACAUUUUCGUGAAGGUGCUUCACGUUCCUGAAGAUUGCGGUGGAUCUCUCCUCAUAUAUAUCUUGGAGUGUCGUUGGAACACACGUUGGGGUCUGGAUAUACCUGUAUGCUGAUGUAUAUGAGACAAUAAUAGAACUAAUACUGGAAAUCAAGAUCGUUUAUAAAUCUUCAGUUAACUUGUCCAGGUACCUCUGGAUGAACCCAUGGACCCGCAAGCUGAGGUCUCGCCCUUUACAACUCUCUCCUCUCCUCUAUCAUUUUUAAAAACAAAUCUCUUACUCUUUGUUUGUUUGUAUCGUUGGGGGGUCAUUAAAGGACUAAACAUUGGCCAGAUCACAAAGAGAGGGGUGGUUAAUAUGUUUCAGCGGCUCCAUUAGUCAAAGUGUGUGUGGGGG
ensembl:lncRNA